GUCGACAGCCAUACCACCCUGAAUGUACCUGAUCUCUCUGUCUUGGGAGCUAAGCAGGGCAGGACCUGGCCAGCCUCCAUCUCGAGAAAAUACAGCAGAAGAGCAAUAACGGAGGACACUCGGUGUUCUUUGGCC
rnacentral:rRNA from 1 species